rnacentral:rRNA from 1 species
UACGGGGGGAGCAAGCGUUGUUCGGAUUUACUGGGCGUAAAGGGCGCGUAGGCGGCCACCGCAAGUCGACUGUGAAAUCUCCGGGCUUAACCCGGAAAGGUCAGCCGAUACUGCGGGGCUAGAGUGCAGAAGGGGCAACUGGAAUUCCCAGUGUAGCGGUGAAAUGCGUAGAUAUUGGGAAGAACACCUGAGGCGAAGGCGGGUUGCUGGGCUGAUACUGACGCUGAGGCGCGAAAGCCAGGGGAGCAAACGGG